AAACACUGAUUGUGAUGGUGAGGUUUCAGCAUUGCACAUCCAACUCAACCAAAUCUCUUGCACAACCAAACAAAGCCGUGAAGAGUAGGGGGCUAGUACACCUAGGAGAAGUCAAUGGACUGCAUCCAGGGAAGCGACGACUAGAAUCCUUGCAACAAGGAAUCAAAAACCCAAGAAGCAACCACGAGAGGGUACGGUUAGGCAAAACACUGAUGACGAUUUUGUUGAACCACCGCGGCAAGAAUCAAGACAGGAUAACCAAGAUGGAGAUGGGACAUAGUAUGAAUUUACAGUCGAAGAAGUGGACAGGGAUAUGAAUUUAUUUGGCGUAUGGGGUUUGUUAAACAUAUUAAACAUAUUAAAACUGUGGAAAUGUAUUGCUUGGUAUAUAAAUUUAUUUUUUGUUAUGCGGUCGGUUGUUUAACAAUGAUCUACAUAUUUUGAUACUUACACUUCUUUAUUAUUUGACAGUAAUACAAAUCAGAAUUGGCGCAGGACACUUUCAAAGGCUA